UAGGGCCUACGGGGGGCAGCAGUGGGGAAUAUUGCACAAUGGGGGAAACCCUGAUGCAGCAACGCCGCGUGAAGGAAGACGGUUUUCGGAUUGUAAACUUCUGUUCUUAGUGAAGAAAAAUGACGGUAGCUAAGGAGCAAGCCGCGGCUAACUACGUGCCAGCAGCCGCGGUAAUACGUAGGUGGCAAGCGUUGUCCGGAAUUACUGGGUGUAAAGGGAGCGCAGGCGGGAAGCCAAGUCAGCUGUGACAU
rnacentral:rRNA from 1 species